AUAUCAUCAUGUUUAAUGGGUCAAAUUACAAUAUAAUGGAUUGACAAAUUUAGGCAAACCUUUCAAAUUUAUAUUCAAGAAUAAAUUAAUGAAGAAAGGGUUGGACCAAAUUUUGCAACUCAUGAAAAAUGGAGGUCGAGUUCAUAAGCCAUUGGAAUAAGUGACUAAUCACUCCUAUAAAUCAUGGAAACUCGGCCAACAUUUCUACAAGCUAAUCACUAAGAAUCUUUAAAGUCUUAAACAUUUGGUCAAUCACUUUUCUACAAAUCAAAUCAUCAAGAGUUCUUGUCAAUCACUCAUUUUAUCAUGAUCGAAUUUCAACUUCACUCUCAUAA
rnacentral:lncRNA from 1 species